rnacentral:rRNA from 1 species
CCCCUAGUAACUGCGAGUGAAGCGGGAAAAGCUCAAAUUUAAAAUCUGGCGGUCUCUGGCCGUCCGAGUUGUAAUCUAGAGAAGUAAUGCCCGCGCUGGACCGUGUACAAGUCUCCUGGAAUGGAGCGUCAUAGAGGGUGAGAAUCCCGUCUCUGACACGGACUACCAGGGCUUUGUGGUAUGCUCUCAAAGAGUCGAGUUGUUUGGGAAUGCAGCUCAAAAUGGGUGGUAAAUUCCAUCUAAAGCUAAAUAUUGGCGAGAGACCGAUAGCGAACAAGUACCGUGAGGGAAAGAUGAAAAGAACUUUGGAAAGAGAGUUAAACAGUACGUGAAAUUGCUGAAAGGGAAACGCUUGAAGUCAGUCGCGUUGGUCAGGGAUCAGCCUCGCUCUUGCGUGGUGUACUUCCUGGUUGACGGGUCAGCAUCAAUUCUGACCGCUGGAAAAAGGCCUGGGGAAUGUGGCAGCUUCGGCUGUGUUAUAGCCCCUGGUCACAUACGGCGGUUGGGAUUGAGGAACUCAGCACGCCGCAAGGCCGGGUGUCGACCACGUUCGUGCU